UCUGACGGAGCAACGCCGCGUGAGUGAUGAAGGCUUUCGGGUCGUAAAACUCUGUUGUUAGGGAAGAACAAGUGCUAGUUGAAUAAGCUGGCACCUUGACGGUACCUAACCAGAAAGCCACGGCUAACUACGUGCCAGCAGCCGCGGUAAUACGUAGGUGGCAAGCGUUAUCCGGAAUUAUUGGGCGUAAAGCGCGCGCAGGUGGUUUCUUAAGUCUGAUGUGAAAGCCCACGGCUCAACCGUGGAGGGUCAUUGGAAACUGGGAGACUUGAGUGCAGAAGAGGAAAGUGGAAUUCCAUGUGUAGCGGUGAAAUGCGUAGAGAUAUGGAGGAACACCAGUGGCGAAGGCGACUUUCUGGUCUGUAACUGACACUGAGGCGCGAAAGCGUGGGGAGCAAACAGGAUUAGAUACCCUGGUAGUCCACGCCGUAAACGAUGAGUGCUAAGUGUUAGAGGGUUUCCGCCCUUUAGUGCUGAAGUUAACGCAUUAAGCACUCCGCCUGGGGAGUACGGCCGCAAGGCUGAAACUCAAAGGAAUUGACGGGGGCCGCACAAG
rnacentral:rRNA from 1 species